rnacentral:lncRNA from 1 species
UUUCAAUGAGAUUUCCGAAAUCAAGAAAAAUGAUUUUGAUGAUGAUGUUAAUUUUGAUUCUUUGAAUUUAAAUGAAACCCCUUCUCCAACUAGCAACUUGGAUGCAUCCACUUCCGAAACAUCCUUACCCAAGAAUUGAAAGUAUGUAGAUGCUCAUCCUAAGGAGCUAAUCCUAGGAGACACAUCUAAGGGGGUUCAAACACGUUCUUCUCUUAAAAAAUUUUGUGCCAACGUCGCUUUUCUCUCCCAAAUUGAACCUAAAUGUAUUGACAAAGCCAUG